rnacentral:sRNA from 26 species
CCCUAGCCCUGAUAGUAGUGGAAAUCCUUUUUUGAGGCUUUUCGCCGAAAAAAAGAUUGUAACGGAUAGCAGGAAAUAGC